rnacentral:rRNA from 1 species
UACGUAGGGACCAAGCGUUGUUCGGAUUUACUGGGCGUAAAGGGCGCGUAGGCGGCGCGGUAAGUCACUUGUGAAAUCUCUGAGCUUAACUCAGAACGGUCAAGUGAUACUGCUGUGCUAGAGUGCGGAAGGGGCAAUCGGAAUUCUCGGUGUAGCGGUGAAAUGCGUAGAUAUCGAGAGGAACACCGGAGGUGAAGACGGGUUGCUGGGCCGACACUGACGCUGAGGCGCGAAAGCCAGGGGAGCAAACGGG